rnacentral:rRNA from 1 species
CAAUAGCGUAUAUUAAAGUUGUUGCAGUUAAAAAGCUCGUAGUUGGAUUUGUGGCGUACGGUGUGUUCCGGGCACUUGUUGUCUGAGUAACCUGCUGUUGCCAUCCUUGGGUGGAACCUGUGUGGCAUUAGGUUGUCGUGCAGGGGAUGCCCAUCAUUUACUGUGAAAAAAUUAGAGUGUUCAAAGCAGGCUUGUGCCGUUGAAUAUAUUAGCAUGGAAUAAUGAGAUAGGACUUUCUUGCUAUUUUGUUGGUUUGCGCAAAGAGGUAAUGAUUAAUAGGGACAGUUGGGGGUAUUCGUAUUCCAUUGUCAGAGGUGAAAUUCUUGGAUUUUUGGAAGACGAACUACUGCGAAAGCAUUUACCAAGGAUGUUUUCAUUAA